GGAGGGGUGGCAGAGUGGUCUAAUGCGCUUGUCUUGAAAACAAGAGUGUCGCAAGGCACCGUGAGUUCGAAUCUCACCCCCUCCG
rnacentral:tRNA from 1 species